AACACUCCCAAACCCUAAGGUAAGAAAGUAUCGACUGAUGCCAAGUUCAUAUCUCAUAUAGAGUCUUUGCCACUGAUUAAUUCGGAAUCCAGUUGAGAAUAUAAAAAAUAGUCUUAAGAGUAUAAUCUUAAAACAAGACUGACAGAUUUAUAAACUCCAUCAUGGAUCGAACUAUGUCUAACAAAGUCGAUUCCAAUAAGAGAGAAUCCUAUUCUCUUCUAGAUAUAUCAAAAACUCAUCAAAAAAGUAUUUUCCUCUUUGGUC
rnacentral:lncRNA from 1 species